AUUGCAAAGUAGAAUUACUAAAUUCACUGCUAAAUAAAAGUUUAAAAUACAAGCAGGUUUUUUAAGUUUUGAGAAUACAUAUAACACUAAUUCAAUCAAGCCGUAAGUAGCGAUGACCAAUUUGUGGAUAUUUGCAUUAUGUUUUGUACUAUUGAUAUGCAUUAUUGAUGGUACCAACGCUGCUUCACCAGAAGGAUGGUUUCAAGAAGCCUACACCUGGAUCGAAAAUGCUUUUUUUACCGCACGUGAUUUUGUGCGUUCUAUUUGGGAUAGGUUUUUUUAAUGUACAUAAUAUUACAAAUAAUAUGGGAUUGUUCUAAAUAAAUUUAAAAAAAAAACUACAUUAUAACUAAUAACUACAAAUAAACAACAAAAUCAAAGCUA